ACGAACGCUGGCGGCGUGCCUAAUACAUGCAAGUAGAACGCUGAAGAGAGGAGCUUGCUCUUCUUGGAUGAGUUGCGAACGGGUGAGUAACGCGUAGGUAACCUGCCUUGUAGCGGGGGAUAACUAUUGGAAACGAUAGCUAAUACCGCAUAACAAUGGAUGACACAUGUCAUUUAUUUGAAAGGGGCAAUUGCUCCACUACAAGAUGGACCUGCGUUGUAUUAGCUAGUAGGUGAGGUAACGGCUCACCUAGGCGACGAUACAUAGCCGACCUGAGAGGGUGAUCGGCCACACUGGGACUGAGACACGGCCCAGACUCCUACGGGAGGCAGCAGUAGGGAAUCUUCGGCAAUGGGGGCAACCCUGACCGAGCAACGCCGCGUGAGUGAAGAAGGUUUUCGGAUCGUAAAGCUCUGUUGUAAGUCAAGAACGAGUGUGAGAGUGGAAAAUUCACACUGUGACGGUAGCUUACCAGAAAGGGACGGCUAACUACGUGCCAGCAGCCGCGGUAAUACGUAGGUCCCGAGCGUUGUCCGGAUUUAUUGGGCGUAAAGCGAGCGCAGGCGGUUUGAUAAGUCUGAAGUUAAAGGCUGUGGCUCAACCAUAGUUCGCUUUGGAAACUGUCAAACUUGAGUGCAGAAGGGGAGAGUGGAAUUCCAUGUGUAGCGGUGAAAUGCGUAGAUAUAUGGAGGAACACCGGUGGCGAAAGCGGCUCUCUGGUCUGUAACUGACGCUGAGGCUCGAAAGCGUGGGGAGCGAACAGGAUUAGAUACCCUGGUAGUCCACGCCGUAGACGAUGAGUGCUAGGUGUUGGAUCCUUUCCGGGAUUCAGUGCCGCAGCUAACGCAUUAAGCACUCCGCCUGGGGAGUACGACCGCAAGGUUGAAACUCAAAGGAAUUGACGGGGGCCCGCACAAGCGGUGGAGCAUGUGGUUUAAUUCGAAGCAACGCGAAGAACCUUACCAGGUCUUGACAUCCCGAUGCUAUUUCUAGAGAUAGAAAGUUACUUCGGUACAUCGGUGACAGGUGGUGCAUGGUUGUCGUCAGCUCGUGUCGUGAGAUGUUGGGUUAAGUCCCGCAACGAGCGCAACCCCUAUUGUUAGUUGCCAUCAUUCAGUUGGGCACUCUAGCGAGACUGCCGGUAAUAAACCGGAGGAAGGUGGGGAUGACGUCAAAUCAUCAUGCCCCUUAUGACCUGGGCUACACACGUGCUACAAUGGUUGGUACAACGAGUUGCGAGUCGGUGACGGCAAGCUAAUCUCUUAAAGCCAAUCUCAGUUCGGAUUGUAGGCUGCAACUCGCCUACAUGAAGUCGGAAUCGCUAGUAAUCGCGGAUCAGCACGCCGCGGUGAAUACGUUCCCGGGCCUUGUACACACCGCCCGUCACACCACGAGAGUUUGUAACACCCGAAGUCGGUGAGGUAACCUUUUGGAGCCAGCCGCCUAAGGUGGGAUAGAUGAUUGGGGUG
rnacentral:rRNA from 1 species